GGUAUUGAAAUAAGAUUUUAAAUGAGUGCUAAGAGAAUGAUUAAACAAUUAAAAGCUUUCUUUAAUUAAAAAGUUAAAUUUAAUUUUUUUAGUGCAAAAGCAAAAAUAAAAUUUAGGGACAAGAAGACCCUAUGAAUUUUUAUUGUUAAUAAUUAAAAUUUAAGUUAUUAAUAAUUUAAUUGGGGCGAUAAAAAAAGAAUAAGUAUCUUUUUAGUUAUAAAAUAAGUUCCGUUUUUAGCGAUUAAAUGAAAUAAAUACUCUAGGGAUAACAGCGUAAUAAUUUUGGAUAGUUCAUAUAGAUAAAAUAGUUUGCGACCUCGAUGUUGGAUUAGGAUUCUUUUUUGGUGAAGAA
rnacentral:rRNA from 1 species